AUGGUGGAUCCGGCAUUUGCCAGCAGGAGAGCUUCAUUUUUAGACCUUUUUUUUAGUUUUGUUAGGGUUUGUGUCCUGUUUAGAAAGAUGAGACGACGGUGGCUCCCUGAAAAUGAAAUAAGGUUCUCCCCACCUAGCCCCUAUCCCGGUGGUGCAUCUAGCAUCAUCUGUGGGCGUCUAGAGGUAUGUCUCGCGGAUCUGCUCAUAUCUGGUAGUCGUUCCUCUGCGUUCGUGUGUCUUCGGGUUGGAUCCUUUCGAUCUACAGUACUCUUCAUCGACGACGGUUGUUGUUCUGAUGCGCUGGUCCUAUUGAGGCUUAGCACGAAAACUUCCCGACUGUGUACUACAAAAAGGGUUGCCCGGAUCCGGCGAGGGAGGGGCGAUGAUGGCAGUGCGCCUUUAGAUCGUUUCAGCGCUUAUAGUCAUUGCUAUAAUUUAUGCUUGCAUUUAUUUUAUGCUUGCAUUUCCUCACCUACGUUCUCUGACAUCAUUAAUGGCCAACCGACUCAGAGGUUUAGAAGCAAUAGAGAUAUUCGUCAGGGUUGCCGUCUAUCACCCUAUCCUUUUGUGCUUGCAAUUAAUGAACUUUCUCUCGCGUUUAAUGAUGCCAUGACUUUUAAUAAUCUUUAG
rnacentral:rRNA from 1 species